rnacentral:rRNA from 1 species
UCCAGACUCCUACGGGAGGCAGCAGUAGGGAAUUUUCGUCAAUGGGGGAAACCCUGAACGAGCAAUGCCGCGUGAGUGAAGAAGGCCUUCGGGUCGUAAAGCUCUGUUGUAAGAGAAAAACGGUAAUGAUAGGGAAUGAUCAUUAAGUGAUGGUAUCUUACGAGGAAGCCACGGCUAACUACGUGCCAGCAGCCGCGGUCAUACGUAGGAUCCGAGCAUUAUCCGGAGUGACUGGGUGUAAAGAGUUGCGUAGGUGGCAUAAUAAGUAGCUAGUGAAAUCUGGUGGCUCAACCAUUCAGACUAUUAGCUAAACUGUUAAGCUCGAGGCCGUUAGGGGUAACUGGAAUUUCUAGUGUAGGAGUGAAAUCCGUAGAUAUUAGAAGGAACACCAAUAGCGUAGGCAGGUUGCUGGGACGGUUCUGACACUAAGGCACGAAAGCGUA